AUCUUCAGAUCUGAGUGAAGAGGGCAUCCGUCCAUCUCAAAAGGUUUAAUUUUUGUACCCAGCUAAUUAACUUGUCUUUUUUCAUCAGUUCCUCCUUGAGUAAUUGAAAAGGGGAUUAUAUUAGAUUGCUAGCUGAUUCUUGGUGAAAAUUGCUUUGCCUGUAUGUAUGUAGAGAGUCUUGUAGCAAUGAUUCUUGGUGAAAACGCCCUGUCCUCGAUACCCCCUGGUUCAUGGUAAUUACUCGACAUUUUGGAAAUGAAACUGACAGAGUUUUGGUCCUAGAUAUUUCUUUGAGCAAAUGUUACAACUGGAACGCAGAAUUCUGAUUGCAGUCACAAGUCAUGUGGAGUUCGAACUGUUAGUGAACAUAGGUCCUACGUUCUAGUUGUAGGUUAAGUGCGAGCAAUUUCUAGGAGUAUGAGACCUCAGCUUGAAUAGGUUAUCUUCGGUUGCAUUGUAGCUAAAUUCCUCAUUUAGUUUGUUUUCUUAGGCCAAUGUCGUCCAGAAAAUUCAGAAUUUGUAUACUGUUUCUAUUAAUUAUAGCCAAUUGGGUAGCGGAUUUAAUAUGGCUAGGAAACCUCUGCCCAGACCCCCUCUCACCACCCUCUUCCUCUUAACUUAAUAGGUUUACCACUUUCUGCAUAUAGGGAGCAUGUUCUUAUCAAUUUACUCAUUUCUUUUGUAGGCGAUGGCUCCACGACAUCUACAAUCACUAUUUGCAUGUUCUUAGCAGACAAAUCUGGGAGAAUGUACUAGCUGCAUAUAUUGGUUCUUGGGUUUACUAUUAGAGCUUUUUAUCUGCAUAUAUAUAAACAUAGGAGUGAGAAUGCCCAGGUAUGCGGCCCUAAAUUUAGUUUCACUGCUUUCUUACUCGUGGGAUUUAUCCAAUUAAUAACUAUAAUGGAUUAAUGAGAAAAAGACAAGGGAAAUUAGCUUUAUAAAAAUGAAACUAUUCAUGGUAAACAUUUGGCAGAAGAGAAUCACAAAAUGAACAACAGCCUCCCUCACGGGAAACAUCAGGUGUGGUAAAAUGCUCACUUAAAAAAUAGAAACUAGAGAUUACUUCCUAGUUUCCUUUUGCCUCGUUGCUACUGGUGUUGUCUGUUUAGGUAACCCUCUGCCUCAUGGUGUUCAGCUGGUUGGCACCAAUCUGCUAAGUAUACAUAAAGUGAAUUUGAGUUAUAUAAAUAUGCUAACUGUCUACAAGACAUCACUAACAUAGAACAAAAUGAUGUAGUCUAGAGUUCAACAUGACUUUGUUUUUUCUGCUCUUUUUCGUAAGCAUACCAAAGCGAAUCCAACCUCAAUCCUUUGAAAGUUUGAACCAUUGAUCUCCUCUAUGCUUCCUAUCCAUUUUCACAUCAAUUAGGUGCAUCGACAUUGACAUCAACACGGGGCUGGGGCGGCGGCGUUGACGGCAUCAACAUCGACACGGGGCUGCUGCAGCGAUGACGACGGCAUCCUCACGGUGCUGUGGCACCGACCUCAACGACGACAACAUCAUCACGGUGCUGCGGCGGCGGCGAC
rnacentral:lncRNA from 1 species